AUACGGAGGGUGCAAGCGUUGUUCGGAAUUAUUGGGCGUAAAGCGCGUGUAGGCGGUUUCUUUAAGUCUGAUGUGAAAGCCCCGGGCUCAACCUGGGAAGUGCAUUGGAAACUGGGGGACGUUGAGUACGGGAGAGGGUAGUGGAAUUCCUAGUGUAGGAGUGAAAUCCGUAGAUAUUAGGAGGAACACCGGUGGCGAAGGCGGCUACCUGGACCGAUACUGACGCUGAGACGCGAAAGCGUGGGGAGGC
rnacentral:rRNA from 1 species